CAGCCCUUGACAUCCUGUGACAGCCGGAGAGAUCCGGGGUUCCCUUCGGGGACGCAGUGACAGGUGCUGCUUGGCUGUCGUCAGCUCGUGUCGUGAGAUGUUGGGUUAAGUCCCGCAACGAGCGCAACCCUCGCCCCUAGUUGCCAUCAUUAAGUUGGGCACUCUAGGGGGACUGCCGGUGAUAAGCCGAGAGGAAGGUGGGGAUGACGUCAAGUCCUCAUGGCCCUUACGGGCUGGGCUACUCACGUGCUACAAUGGCGGUGACAAUGGGCAGCGAAAGGGCGACCUGGAGCGAAUCCCAAAAAGCCGUCUCAGUUCGGAUUGCACUCUGCAACUCGAGUGCAUGAAGGUGGAAUCGCUAGUAAUCGCAGAUCAGCAACGCUGCGGUGAAUACGUUCCC
rnacentral:rRNA from 1 species